rnacentral:rRNA from 1 species
AACGAACGCUGGCGGCAUGCCUAACACAUGCAAGUCGAACGAAGUCUUCGGACUUAGUGGCGCACGGGUGCGUAACGCGUGGGAAUCUGCCCUUGGGUGCGGAAUAACUUCUCGAAAGGGAUGCUAAUACCGCAUAAUGUCGUAAGACCAAAGAUUUAUCGCCCAAGGAUGAGCCCGCGUAAGAUUAGCUAGUUGGUGGGUAAAAGCCUACCAAGGCGACGAUCUUUAGCUGGUCUGAGAGGAUGAUCAGCCACACUGGGACUGAGACACGGCCCAGACUCCUACGGAGGCAACAGUGGGGAAUAUUGGACAAUGGGCGAAAGCCUGAUCCAGCAAUGCCGCGUGAGUGAUGAAG